GACAGAGGUGCCGAGCGUUAGGCGGAAUCACUGGGCUUAAAGCGUGUGUAGGCGGAGUUCUAAGGACCUUGUGAAAUCCCACGGCUUAACCGUGGAACUGCUUGGUAUACUGGUUCUCUUGGGCCAUCUAGGGGCUAGCGGAACAAACGGUGGAGCGGUGAAAUGCGUAGAUAUCGUUUGGAACGCCAAUGGUGAAAACAGCUAGCUGGGGAUGUGCCGACGCUGAGACACGAAAGCCAGGGGAGCGAACGGG
rnacentral:rRNA from 1 species